GCCAGAGUCUCUCCUGUCCGCCCAAGGCUAACCAACGAGAUUGUGUACAACAAGUCCCCAGAAAGAAAACAACUUGAUUUCAUACACAAUCAAACAACGAUAACACAAACAGUGUUAAAACCAUCAAGAGCAAGCGAUACUAGUAAAAGCAUACAAGUAUACAAAAGAGAGAAACUUAACUAUUUGAACCAUGAAACUUGAAGCAUUAAAAUACUACUUGCAUUCAACUUCAUUUAAACCUUCAUACAUUAUUUCCAAUCUUUUCCAUAAUGUAAAUACAUCCAAAAACUCUCCAAAACCUCACCCUAUACAACAUCUACUCUCAAAAUAUAAAAACAGGGUGG
rnacentral:lncRNA from 1 species